GACGAACGCUGGCGGCGUGCUUAACACAUGCAAGUCGAACGAAGAGCGAUGGAAGCUUGCUUCUAUCAAUCUUAGUGGCGAACGGGUGAGUAACGCGUAAUCAACCUGCCCUUCAGAGGGGGACAACAGUUGGAAACGACUGCUAAUACCGCAUACGAUCUAACCUCGGCAUCGAGGAAAGAUGAAAGGUGGCCUCUAUUUAUAAGCUAUCACUGAAGGAGGGGAUUGCGUCUGAUUAGCUAGUUGGAGGGGUAACGGCCCACCAAGGCGAUGAUCAGUAGCCGGUCUGAGAGGAUGAACGGCCACAUUGGGACUGAGACACGGCCCAGACUCCUACGGGAGGCAGCAGUGGGGAAUCUUCCGCAAUGGACGAAAGUCUGACGGAGCAACGCCGCGUGAGUGAUGAUGGCCUUCGGGUUGUAAAGCUCUGUUAAUCGGGACGAAAGGCCUUCUUGCGAACAGUUAGAAGGAUUGACGGUACCGGAAUAGAAAGCC
rnacentral:rRNA from 1 species